rnacentral:rRNA from 1 species
AUUGAACGCUGGCGGCAGGCCUAACACAUGCAAGUCGAACGGUAACAGGAAACAGCUUGCUGUUUCGCUGACGAGUGGCGGACGGGUGAGUAAUGUCUGGGAAACUGCCUGAUGGAGGGGGAUAACUACUGGAAACGGUAGCUAAUACCGCAUAACGUCGCAAGACCAAAGAGGGGGACCCUCGGGCCUCUUGCCAUCGGAUGGGCCCAGAUGGGAUUAGCUUGUUGGUGGGGUAACGGCUCACCAAGGCGACGAUCCCUAGCUGGUCUGAGAGGAUGACAGGCCACACUGAAACUGAGAAACGGGCCAGCCGCCUACGGGAGGCAGCAGGGGGGAAUAUUGCACAAUGGGCGCAAGCCUGAUGCAGCCAUGCCGCGGGUUUGAAGAAGGCCUUCGGGUUGUAAAGUACUUUCAGCGGGGAGGAAGGGAGUAAAGUUAAUACCUUUGCUCAUUGACGUUACCCGCAGAAGAAGCACCGGCUAACUCCGU